rnacentral:tRNA from 1 species
GGUGCCUGUAGCUCAGUUGGUUAGAGCGCGUCCCUGUGGAGGACGAGGUCGCGGGUUCGAGCCCCGUCUGGCACCC